AUCGCACGUGCGAAUUCAGAAUUUGAGAGCUUUAGAACUCGGACUGCUCUGACUGGCUUUAGUGCUGUUGGAGGACGUGCUGAUUGACAGCUGGUUCCAGGCCGCUCAACAACUGGACAGGAAGUUCCAGCCCAGCGAGACAAUGACAGGAGAAAGGGAGGAGCCUGAUGACAUGAUGCUGGUGGAGAAAAAGCCUUUUCAGGUUUAUGCAAAAAAGUAUUCAAAAAUGUGUUACCUAAGUUUAUUAUUUAUUUGUAGCUUUUUCCUCAAAUACCACGUGUGUGUGUGUGCGUGUGUGUGUGUGUUUGUGUGAAAAGUGUGAAGGAAAAACACCAGAAAAAACACAAACUACCCACCUGUGCCUUGGU